rnacentral:rRNA from 1 species
GAUGAACGCUGGCGGCGUGCCUAAUACAUGCAAGUCGAGCGAACAGACGAGGAGCUUGCUCCUCUGACGUUAGCGGCGGACGGGUGAGUAACACGUGGAUAACCUACCUAUAAGACUGGGAUAACUUCGGGAAACCGGAGCUAAUACCGGAUAAUAUAUUGAACCGCAUGGUUCAAUAGUGAAAGACGGUUUUGCUGUCACUUAUAGAUGGAUCCGCGCUGCAUUAGCUAGUUGGUAAGGUAACGGCUUACCAAGGCAACGAUGCGUAGCCGACCUGAGAGGGUGAUCGGCCACACUGGAACUGAGACACGGUCCAGACUCCUACGGGAGGCAGCAGUAGGGAAUCUUCCGCAAUGGGCGAAAGCUUGACGGAGCAACGCCGCGUGAGUGAUGAAGGUCUUCGGAUCGUAAAACUCUGUUAUUAGGGAAGAACAAAUGUGUAAGUAACUAUGCACGUCUUGACGGUACCUAAUCAGAAAGCCACGGCUAACUACGU